AGCUAGCAUGGUGUAAUGGUUUGAGCAUUAGUCUAUGACUCUGGAGACCUGGGUUCAAAUCCCUGCUUGGCCA